GUUAAGGUGGCAGAGCCCGGCAAUUGCGUAAAACUUAAAACUUUAUUACCAGAGGUUCAACUCCUCUCCUUAACA
rnacentral:tRNA from 1 species